rnacentral:lncRNA from 1 species
UGCAAACCAGCACCAAGGCUGCAAACGAAGCCAGAAAGAUGGUGGCCAGCACACCUAUGGCAACUAUCACCACGGUCUCCAUGCUUCCGGGGAGCUCCUGACUCAGUCCCGUUCACAUCGUCCUCAUGGGCUAAGGCUGCUGGAAGUGGCAAACUGGGGGAAGAGGAUGGCAGGAGCUAGGUUCCUCCACGACACCUCCAGAGACCUGAGGGCCUCAAGCUGCAGCUCCGGGGCACAUCCCGCUGCGCUCCCACGACGGCCCCGCGGAUGGCAAAGUCAGCGGCAUCGCCUAUGCAGGCAAUCAAAGGAUGUUGAUGGAUAAGUGUUUCAGGCAGAAUAAUGGCCCUCAAAGAUGUUGACACCAGAAUCUUCAGAACCUUUGCAUAUGUUACCUAACAUGACAAAAGGGACUUUGCUGAUGUGAUUAAGGUUAAGAACUUUGAGAAGGGAAGAUUAUCCUGGAUUAUACAGGUCGACGUUUAUUUCUUUCUGAACUUUCCUGGAGGAUCAUCGGCCAUACUCCAGCAGAAGGGUGGAUUUGAAAAAAUAACGUUUCCACGGCAACAGUGGCAGCAAUUCAAAGGAAGACGUUGGAGAAUUCACAUGCUAUUUUAGCUGGCUCUGUGAUUGCAAUCACACAAAUCAUUACAUUCCAGCGAGAUCCCAUCAACAGAAGGUUUUUCCAUUUCAGUCUGUCAAGCAAAGCCCAGAGUCUUCCCUGGAGAAGAGUGCUGAUGACGAGGAUUCAUGUCUCACAACCCAGCACACAGGAAUGAUGUCACACAGGGUGGAGCAUGUGACCCAAUUCUGGUCAACAAAAACAAAGGCGUUACUAGGGGCUUCCCAAGAGAAAAACCUUCUCCUUCCUCUGAGACAUCAACAAUCAGACUCUCCUUUCUCAGGGUGGAAAAGAGAAUAUUAGCCUUGGAAAUUGUAGACAGCCGCCAUCUCGCAACUAGGUAAAAGAAUCAGCCUUAGGAGGAAGCUAAUACCACAUAAGGCAGAGCCCAGAAAUGGGAAGAAAUUGGAAAAUUUAUGGCAUCAUUAAACUGCUGAAUCGAAUCAACCCUGAAGCCCAUGUUGCCACUGGGCUUCUUCAUUACAUAACCUUUUACUCUUCAA